rnacentral:lncRNA from 10 species
GUUUGCAAUACUCUGAAUAAUUGUCAACGUGAUGUUGCAUAUUCUCCUCAAACUUGUAGGCAAGAUAGUUCAUCACCAGGAGGAAGUAUUGAUGAUGGGUUUUGGAUUUUAGGAAAAAGUACACCCUUGUUUGUGAAAUGACAUGCUGUUCCUCAGAAAAAUGGCCUUUAAUCAGUUGCUACAUUUUUCUACCUUUCCUCAUUUUAACUGCCAUCAUUGGUCUUAAAUGGAACAAAAUGAAGGGAUUUUGACACUGAGCAAAAAGUGUAAGUGGAAGGAGACAGCAGUAGUAGCAGCAACAGUAACAGCAGUAGUGACAGCAACCAGUCAUAGAGGAAGUCAGGGACCCUGAAUGGAGGGACUGGCUGGAGCCAUGGCAGAGGAACAUAAAUGGAACUACAUGAUAACAUCAAAAGCCAUAAGAUAGAGAAAGGAUAUUACCAAGAAACUUACCAUUAACUGGCUUGAUUCAACAAUGAAAACAAAAAUCGCCUUUUUUCUCCUUUCAUUAUGGCUUAAAGCUUUCAAUUGCACAAACAAAAUAAAUUAUAUGACAGGAAGUAU